rnacentral:lncRNA from 1 species
CCUUUUGUCCAGUCGCCACUCGCCAGCCAUAAAACUCCACUUUCCAAGUCCCUCCACCACGCCACCACCACCACCACCAGAAACGCCACCAACCGCUUCUUCUUCUUCUUCUUCUUCUUCUUCUUCUUCUUCUUCACCGUCGUCGUCAUGUCCAAGUGCCCGCACCACCACAGCGGCCACAAGUGGAGGAAGAUAUGGAGGAGAGUGUUCAAGGUCAGCCUGGUGGUGCUCUUCAUAAUCCUGCUCAUAGUGCUG